GUCGAACGAAGUAGUUUACUACUUAGUGGCGAACGGGUGAGUAACACGUAUCUAAUCUACCAUUUAGUGGGGAAUAACUGUUGGAAACGACAGCUAAUACCGCAUACUGUUUCUAAGAUGAUUUCUUAGAAAUGAAAGAAGCUUUCAAGCUUUGCUAAUUGAUGAGGAUGCGGCGCAUUAGCUAGUUGGUAGGGUAAUGGCCUACCAAGGCAAUGAUGCGUAGCCGAUCUGAGAGGAUGAACGGCCACAUUGGGACUGAGACACGGCCCAAACUUCUACGGAAGGCAGCAGUAGGGAAUUUUUCACAAUGGGCGAAAGCCUGAUGGAGCAAUGCCGCGUGAUUGAUGAAGGUCUUCGGAUUGUAAAGAUCUGUUGUAAGGGAAGAAAGGAUAAAAUAGGAAAUGAUUUUAUUUUUGACGGUACCUUACCUAGAAAGCCACGGCUAACUAUGUGCCAGCAGCCGCGGUAAUACAUAGGUGGCAAGCGUUAUCCGGAUUUAUUGGGCGUAAAGGGUGCGUAGACGGUUUUAUAAGUCUGAGGUUAAAUAUGAGAGCUCAACUCUCAUCUGCCUUGGAAACUGUAGAACUAGAGUGUAGGAGAGGCUAGUGGAAUUCCAUGUGUAGCGGUGGAAUGUGUAGAUAUAUGGAGGAACACCAGUGGCGAAGGCGGCUAGCUGGCCUAAUACUGACGUUGAGGCACGAAAGCGUGGGGAGCAAAUAGGAUUAGAUACCCUAGUAGUCCACGCUGUAAACGAUGAGUACUAAGUGUUGCCAAAUGGCAGUGCUGUAGCUAACGCAUUAAGUACUCCGCCU
rnacentral:rRNA from 1 species